AAGCUGCUAAGGCUUCCGCUCCUCACAGCGCGCGUUUGCACUGUGAGGGUAAGUCCUGUAAUGAAAGGCUCUGGCAUUUUUAUGGUUUCUGGUGUAAAUGUUGUUACAUAAGUUGUACAUGUCGAUGUAUAUAGGUUCAUAUUGAUGUUAGAAAGUUUCUGUGUAACUGAAACAAAGGCGGGUUGCUGUUAAAUAGUGUUUCUGCCGUAUUUAUGCUCUUUGGCAGUUAGUCUUUGUCAGCCCCCUAGUGGUUGCUGCGCAUAGCAGGAAAUGUGUUUGGAUGUACCGUUUUUCUGUGCUUUUUGUGAUGUUGUUUUACAUUGUAGGAGCUACAAUUGCUGUACCAUCAGAAGACACCUGUUGAGUGUGUUUUAUGUCUUCUGCAGGAAUAAAUCGUGAAAAGCCAAUCUUUCUGAGCGUCUGUGAUUUUUGAAGAGCUGGAAGUGUUACACUGGUGCCGUGACCAUUCGGAUCUUCAGAUCAGCUUGAUGCUCAUCGCCGUGGCUGCUGUUCUGCUCCCCUGCUGUUCACAAGUUGAAUGUGGGUUGUUGUAACCAAGUGAGUUUAGACUAAAAAAAAAAACCCCCAAAAACAAACAAAAAGGUGAGGGAUGUGAUUGAAAUAAGACAAGGGUGAAAGUGUCUGUGUUUUGAUAUACAACGUGUGGUUAUACGUUCAAAUUAUUUGGACAUUAUUAUUAUAAUUUUUUUUCUUCCCCUCGUUUUGCUGCUAUUAUACUGUUAUUUUUCUUAUUUUUAUCUACCUUUUUUAUUUUAUUUUAUUUUAUUUUUUUCUCUCCCUAACGGGGUGCACAUGCAGUUAUCAUCUUAAGUGUGUGACUUGACGAUGGAUAAAUUUGUCACUCCAGUACUACAUAAGGGUAGAGGUGCCGGACUAGUUCAUGCAGUUGACGCCAGUAAUGUCACACAGUUUGGUCCUGUGAGCAGUGACACUGGGCUAGGCCAAAGCCCGAGUUUUAUUCCCAUCGGUAGGGGUAUGGGUGAUAAGCCCCAGGUUUCCACUCCAAUUAGAGACAGUGAUGCUGUACACAGUUUUACUGACAUGGUUGAGCAAAUAGGAGCCCAGAUAGGUGAAUCCAUUGUUACUAAACUGUUGUCAGCUGGCGUUGUGAAUCUGACUGGUGACUCUAAGACUCAAACUGAGCAAUGUAACAGUACCGCUCGAGAUGUACCGCAUGUAACUGUCCAUGUUAAGCCCAAUAGGGAGCUUCAAGUUUUUAGGGGUGAUGGCACAAACAGAUGUUCGGUUCAGGACUGGAUUGACAUGGCAACAACCUAUCUAUGGAAGCAAGAGGUCCCCAUUCAUGGCCAGGCUGAUGAAAUUAUUAGCCACUUAAUCAGAAUCAGAAUACUUUAUUCAUCCCGAGGGAAAUUAGGGGUUACAGCAGGCAGCACGCUAAUGGCGCACGCGCACUCACAAAGGAACCUUCUGACCAACUUUACACAAACAUCACAUUGGGCAGACAUGUCAGAAGGUAGGCUGAUAGGAAAAAAACAACGAAAAUACACUACAUGAGGUAAGAGGAGGAGAAAAAAAAACUCCACUCAGACUGAGCUCCUAGUGGGAGAACAGUUUGAUAAAAGAAAAAACACCUCAGCACAAAAGCACAUGACUAUCAAUACACCAUAGAAACACGAGACAAGCAACAGGGGCGGGUAAAGGGUAAGAGAGAGCCGGCGUAGACAGCGCAUCCGGUCCUGCAGCAUCUGUGCUGGUCCAGUUGACUGCUAUCAUCCCCGGUAGGGCACAAGCAUCGAAGGCGUUGGAAAGGGAGGGGGAUGAGUGAGUGCUUAUCAGUGUAAGUGUGUGUGUGUGCGGGGAAGGCCAGAGAUGUGGUCAGAGUGGCUCUUCGUAGUGACCCAGGUCUUGAUGUCAAACAGAAACCUGAUCUGAUCUUUGGUGUUCUUCGCCAUUAUUUCAGUGAUUCUUCGUCGUGCCUCCCUCUUGCUGACUUCUAUGCAACACUCC
ensembl:lncRNA